rnacentral:rRNA from 1 species
GACGAACGCUGGCGGCGUGCCUAAUACAUGCAAGUCGAACGCAGUGGGGACGGGUGAGUAACACGUGGGUAACCUCCCAUCAGAGGGGAUAACACUUGGAAACAGGUGCUAAACCGAUACUGAUGGUUGGACCCUCGGUGCAUUAGCUAUUUGGUGAGGUAACGGCUCACCAAGGCAACGAUGCAUAGCAAACCUGAGAGGGAGAUCGGCCACACUGGUACUGAGAAACGGCCCAGACUCCUACGGGUGGCAGCAGUAGGGAAUCUUCGGCAAUAGACGAAAGUCUGACCGAGCAACGCCGCGUGAGUGACGAAGGUUUUCGGAUCGUAAAACUCUGUGGUUAGAGAAGCGGUAUCUAACCAGAAAGCCACGGCUAACUAAGUGCCAGCAGCCGCGGUAAGAC